UCGAUACAAUCUCUUCCUCUCUCUACAAUAGUGCCUCUCUAGCCUCUCUCAUCCUCUCUCUCACAAUCCCCUCUCCGGCGAAAAUUUUUAGACAGUUCACGGCGGUGCUUUUCUCCUAUAAUCUUGUGGAGCUCCUUAGAAUAUUUUGUUUUCCCCUGGUUGGUUGUUUCGAGCUGCAAAGGGCUCGUUCAAUGUCAUAGGUGUUUUGAUCACUCUUUUCGCCUUGUGUUCUUCUAUUUGAGGUUUCUCUUUUGGUUGUCGUGGGUUGUUAGGGUAGGUUUUCGUGUAUUCGUCGUAUUUUGGGUGUUGUAUUUGCGUCGAUUUGUGUUCCGUGUGGUUUGGGCACUAAGCCUAAACCAAAUCUUGGAAGCGAAACAGUGCAACGACUAAGGAAUCUUAUAAGAACGUAAACCUUGCUAAUUCUGGACAUACAAAGAAAGAACCUCUGAAGAAGUCUAAUACAAAGGGCUUAUCAUGUGAUUCUUUACUUAUAGUUUUUAUUGAGUGUUUGCUCGGGAGAAAAAUGUCAGAAUGGAAGGAAACCGGGUUGAAGUCAGUCAAAGACACAUUUUGGACUUCCUGUAACAGGUGCAAGACAUAUUACGAAUACCAUAAUAUUUAUUUGAAUGAACUCUUGGAGUGCCCUCGGGGCAGGCAGCCUUUGAAGGCAACAGAGAUUCCUGCUCCUAAUAUAAAAUCCCGGGGAUCAUCUUAUUGGAAUAUCUCUCUCCAUACUGAAGAUCUAUCAACAUUCUUGGGUUGUUUGGGGACUGUGCCACCCCCAACUAAGGAAAACUGUAGAAACAUUACUCCAAGAAUGGUGGAACCACUACCAGCUCCAGCUCCAACUCAAAAUGUUGGAUUGAGCAAUCAGCACUUAAUGAAGUCUGCUGAGAUGACAUUUUCAAAAAUCAACUUUCGUGAUGUUCGAAUGAAAAUGGCCAAGGAGGAACUCGCAGGCCACCUGAAAAAUAUCACAAAAUGAGUGGCGGGAUAGUAUACAGAGGUACAAAA